UUAAGUGAACAAGGGCAUACGGCGGAUGCCUUGGCGCCAAGAGCCGAUGAAGGACGCGGUAAGCUGCGAAAAGGCAUGGGUAGGAGCAAGCAUCCUGUGAUCCAUGCAUAUCCGAAUGGGGCAACCCACCAUCAGUCAUGUGAUGGUACGAAAGAGGCAGACCUGGGGAACUGAAACAUCUAAGUACCCAGAGGAAAAGUAAUCAAUUGAGAUUCCCUAAGUAGCGGCGAGCGAAAGGGGAAGAGCCCAAACUAGAUAACUUCGGUUGUCUGGGGUUGAGGACCGGCAAAAAGAGGAAACUUCUUAGUCGAAUGGUUUGGAAAGGCCAUGCACAGAAGGUAAAACACCUGUAGGCGAAAAGAAGUCAAUCGGGCUGGUAUCCAGAGUACUGCGAGACACGUGAAACCUUGCAGGAAGCAGGGGGGACCACCCUCCAAGGCAAAAUACUACUUGGCGACCGAUAGCGCAUAGUACCGUGAGGGAAAGGUGAAAAGAACCCCGGGAGGGGAGUGAAAUAGAACCUGAAACCGUAUGUCUACAAGCAGUCGAAGCACCUUAAGAGUGCGACGGCGUGCCUAUUGAAGAAUGAACCGGCGAGUUACAUUAUGUUGCGAGGUUAAGUGGGAGACACGGAGCCGAAGCGAAAGCGAGUCUUAAUAGGGCGACUAGUAACAUGGUGUAGACCCGAAACCGCAGUGAUCUAUCCAUGGUCAGGUUGAAGCGCAGGUAAAAAUGCGUGGAGGACCGAACCCGUGAGUGUUGAAAAACUUUGGGAUGAACCGUGGAUAGGGGUGAAAUGCCAAUCGAACGCGGAGAUAGCUGGUACUCCCCGAAAUAGCUUUAGGGCUAGCCUCAGGGAAGAUUAUAGACGGUAGAGCACUGAUCUGGCAAGGGGGCGUAAAGCCUACCGACCCUAGUCAAACUUCGAAUGGCUAUAAUUAAGACCCUGGGAGUCAGACUGCGAGUGAUAAGACCCGUAGUCAAGAGGGAAACAGCCCAGACCGCCGACUAAGGUCCCCAAUGCUGUACUAAGUGGAAAAGGAUGUAAGACUUCAUAAACAACCAGGAUGUUGGCUUAGAAGCAGCCACCAUUAAAAGAGUGCGUAAUAGCUCACUGGUCGAGAGGCCUUGCGCCGAAGAUGUCCGGGGCUCAAGUACAGAACCGAAGUCGCGGCAGGAUUAUAUAAUUCUGGGUAGGGGAGCGUUGUAUAUCCGACUGAAGGUGUACCGGAAGGAGCGCUGGAGGAUAUACAAGAGAGAAUGCCGGUAUGAGUAGCGAAAAGAACAGUGAGAAUCUGUUCCACCGAAAGCCUAAGGUUUCCUGAGCAACGCUCGUCGACUCAGGGUAAGUCGGGACCUAAGCCGAGGCAAAAAGCAUAGGCGAUGGACAACAGGUUAAUAUUCCUGUACCGCUUCAAAUCGUUUGAGCAAUGGAGUGACACAGAAGGUAGCUUGAGCACGCGAAUGGAUGUGCGUGUCGAAGGUGGUAGGUUGCAGUAUAGGCAAAUCCGUACUGUAUAAGACCGAGAACUGAUAGAUAGACGAUACUUCGGUAAAGUCAAAUUCAAGUGAGCCAUGCUGUCGAGAAAAGCUUCUAGUGAGAGAUGAGGCGCCCGUACCGAAACCGACACAGGUAGGCGGGGAGAGAAUCCUAAGGUGCGCGGGACAACCCUCGUUAAGGAACUCGGCAAAUUGUAUCCGUAACUUAGGGAUAAGGAUAGCCGGAGGAUGUGAAGGGAUUUACUUCUGGAGCGUCAGCCGGUGGCACAAGAGAGGCCCAAGCGACUGUUUAGCACAAACACAGGUGCCUGCAAAAGAGAAAUCUGACGUAUAGGUGCUGACACCUGCCCGGUGCUGGAAGGUUAAGAGGAGGGCUUAGAGGCAACUCGAAGGCUUGAAUUGAAGCCCCAGUAAACGGCGGCCGUAACUAUAACGGUCCUAAGGUAGCGAAAUUCCUUGUCGGGU
rnacentral:rRNA from 1 species